CCUACGGGAGGCUGCAGUGAGGAAUAUUGGUCAAUGGACGAGAGUCUGAACCAGCCAAGUAGCGUGAAGGAUGACUGCCCUAUGGGUUGUAAACUUCUUUUAUAUGGGAAUAAAAUGUUCCACGUGUGGGAUUUUGUAUGUACCAUAUGAAUAAGGAUCGGCUAACUCCGGGCCAGCAGCCGCGGUAAUACGGAGGAUCCGAGCGUUAUCCGGAUUUAUUGGGUUUAAGGGGAGCGUAGGUGGAUUGUUAAGUCAGUUGUGAAAGUUUGCGGCUCAACCGUAAAAUUGCAGUUGAAACUGGCAGUCUUGAGUACAGUAGAGGUGGGCGGAAUUCGUGGUGUAGCGGUGAAAUGCUUAGAUAUCACGAAGAACUCCGAUUGCGAAGGCAGUUCACUGGACUGCAACUGACACUGAGGCUCGAAAGUGUGGGUAUCAAACAGGAUUAGAUACCCUUGUAGUC
rnacentral:rRNA from 1 species